rnacentral:rRNA from 1 species
AGUGAACGCUGGCGGUAGGCCUAACACAUGCAAGUCGAACGGCAGCACAGUAAGAGCUUGCUCUUACGGGUGGCGAGUGGCGGACGGGUGAGGAAUACAUCGGAAUCUACUUUUUCGUGGGGGAUAACGUAGGGAAACUUACGCUAAUACCGCAUACGACCUACGGGUGAAAGCAGGGGAUCUUCGGACCUUGCGCGAUUGAAUGAGCCGAUGUCGGAUUAGCUAGUUGGCGGGGUAAAGGCCCACCAAGGCGACGAUCCGUAGCUGGUCUGAGAGGAUGAUCAGCCACACUGGAACUGAGACACGGUCCAGACUCCUACGGGAGGCAGCAGUGGGGAAUAUUGGACGAUGGGCGCAAGCCUGAUCCAGCCAUACCGCGUGGGUGAAGAAGGCCUUCGGGUUGUAAAGCCCUUUUGUUGGGAAAGAAAAGCAGCAGGUUAAUACCCUGCUGUUCUGACGGUACCCAAAGAAUAAGCACCGGCUAACUUCGUG